GACGAACGCUGGCGGCGUGCCUAAUACAUGCAAGUAGAACGCACAGUUUAUACCGUAGCUUGCUACACCAUAAACUGUGAGUUGCGAACGGGUGAGUAACGCGUAGGUAACCUGCCUGGUAGCGGGGGAUAACUAUUGGAAACGAUAGCUAAUACCGCAUAAUAUUGAUUAUUGCAUGAUAAUUGAUUGAAAGAUGCUAUUGCAUCACUACCAGAUGGACCUGCGUUGUAUUAGCUAGUAGGUGAGGUAACGGCUCACCUAGGCGACGAUACAUAGCCGACCUGAGAGGGUGAUCGGCCACACUGGGACUGAGACACGGCCCAGACUCCUACGGGAGGCAGCAGUAGGGAACCUUCGGCAAUGGACGAAAGUCUGACCGAGCAACGCCGCGUGAGUGAAGAAGGUUUUCGGAUCGUAAAGCUCUGUUGUAAGAGAAGAACGGGUGUGAGAGUGGAAAGUUCACACUGUGACGGUAUCUUACCAGAAAGGGACGGCUAACUACGUG
rnacentral:rRNA from 1 species